rnacentral:lncRNA from 1 species
UUUUGUACAAUUGCUGACAUAUCUAAUACUAUACAUAUAAUUAUUGUGGGGCUCAAAGACAACAAUUAAUGCAGAGCUCAUUAAUACAAAACUUAGCCACCAAGAUACAUUCUUUAUAUAUCCCUCACCAGCCAUAUUUCUUCUGCAUCUCCUUUUCUCCCUCACCGGCCACUUUUCUUUCGGCACUAUCUUGCUUCACCUUGCUUUCUUGCUUCUCUUUCUUUUUCCAUUUUUCUUUCGGCACUUUCUUGCUUCAAUGUGAGCACUCUUUCUAUUUUGCUUCUCUUUCUUAUCUUUCUGUUCUUGCUUCUCUUUCUUUCCUCUUUUUUCUUUGUCAGCUUCUUGCACCUUCUUUUCUACAUUUUAAUGAGCAGCAGCUUCUUGCACCUUCUUUUCUACAUUUUAAUGAGCAGCAGCUUCUGUUUCUAUCUGUAAUAUUGGCAUAUUCUUGCUCUUUUCUCUAAGCUUCUUGCUUCCAAUUUUUAUAUUUUUUUUAUUUCUACCUAAACUUUUCAUUUCUACUCUAAGCUUCUUUCUCACAACUUCUUACAUCAUUUUCUUUAUUUUCUUUCUUUUUUAUAUUUUAGUUUUUUUUGUUUCUAUUUUAUAUAUUUUUUUCUAUUUUACAUAUUCGUUCUUUUCUUUCUUAUAUCUUCAGUUUAAUUUUCCAUCCUAUUUUAUGUGUUUAUAACUACAACUUUAGAUUCUUUCUUUCUUUAUUUUUUUUAUAUCUUCAACUAUAUUUUCUUCCUAUUUUAUGUGUUUAUUUCAGUUUUACAUCUUUAGAUUUCUUUUCUGCACUUCUAAACAAAAAUAGAGCAAAACCCCCCCCUAUUUUCUGCACUUCUAAACAAAAAUAGAGCAAAACAUUACUAUAAUCCCAUAUACAACAAACAGGUUUAUGAUAAUGACGAAAGUGCAAAAACACGUUUGAAAUAUGAAUAAAACAUGCAAAAAGAAACAACAGGUUAUCUGAAUAUGAAAUUUCGAAGAGUUUGCAUGAUAUAUGCUAAAUAAGGUUUAAGUAACUUACUCAGUCAAACAAAGGCAGAUUUCGGAGGUAGCAAAAAAGAAUGAUUUUUUUGUUCUUAUUCUUAAUCAAAAAUAAUUUCAAAGAGGCAGCAAAUAUUUCAAAUGGAUUUGUGUUAGCAACAAGUAAUGAUUUUUAGUUCUUCAUAUGUGCUGCCUCUUUGAUUUUUUUUGAAACAGCAAAGUAAACAAAAUUCCUGCAUUUUCUAUGAAACACGAAAAGCAAGAGCAAAUAGAUCUACGGAGAUCUAAAAAACGACAAGUAACAGUUUCAUGUGUAGAUAUUCAGAGAUCUACGAAAAUGAAAAUCUGAAAAACAAUAAACUAAUAAUGCGAAAAAAAAAUAAGAUGUCUGUAUAGGAAAAAAAAAGAAAAGUGAAGCAAUAUCAUCAAAAAAUACCUAAAUUCGUUCUCAAAUAAAAUUUGUGCCUUGGGUUUUUAAAGAACAAAAUGACAAAAAACAUUGGAGCAUAUGCAGACGAAAAUUUGUUGCUAUUGUUUAAAUGAACAAAAACGAUACUUCAGCAAGAAAAAUUAAACAUGGAGAAAAUUAAAAAAAUUAAAAUUAAAAAACGAAAAACUAAUAAACGAAAAAAAAAAUUAGAUCUUAUUCGGUGUUAAAAAAAACGAAUCUGCAAGCAAAAAAAUUCAAAAUUUAAUAUGGAGAAGUAGGCCGAGAUCUGGAGGCUAGGGCUUGGACGACGGCGGCGGCGUAUCUGUGCAGACGGAGGCAGCGGCGNUACAUUCUAAGAGCAUCCGCAAUGGGGUUACAUGAUAGCUUACAUGAUAGCCUAAUUUAUGAUGGGGGAUCACAUGGUGUAAAGAUGCUGCAGUGGGGUUACAUGAUAGCUUACAUGAUAGCAUCUACUUAAUAUAUAAAAACACAAAAACAAUGCACCAAAAUACACACCCACUUUCCCGCCAAAUUGCAUUUCAGCCAAUAUUCUUUUUUGUCUUAUUUGCACGUGCUUUGUGCUGCAAAAUUGUGGCUGCAAUAAAUGACUCAAUAAAUUUUUUACUGUUCAACAUAUCUUUUUCAGAUUAUUUUUGUACGAUUCCUGACAUAUCUAAUACUAUACAUAUAAUUAUUGUGGGGCUCAAUGACAACAAUUAAUGCAGAGCUCAUUAAUUAAAACUUAGCCACUAAGAUACAUUCUUUAUAUAUCCCUCACCAGCCAUAUUUCUUCUGCAUCUUCUUUUCUCCCUCACCGGCCACUUUUCUUUCGGCACUAUCUUGCUUCACUUUGCUUUCUUGCUUCUCUUUCUUUUUCCAUUUUUCUUUCGGCACUUUCUUGCUUCAAUGUCAGCACUCUUUCUAUUUUGCUUCUCUUUCUUAUCUUUCUGUUCUUGCUUCUCUUUCUUUCCACUUUUUUCUUUGUCAGCUUCUUGCACCUUCUUUUCUACAUUUUAAUGAGCAGCAGCUUCUUGCACCUUCUUUUCUACAUUUUAAUGAGCAGCAGCUUCUUUUUCUAUCUGUAAUAUUGGCAUAUUCUUGCUCUUUUCUCUAAGCUUCUUGCUUCCUAAUUUUUAUUAUUUUUUUAUUUCUAC